UACGAAAGGGGCUAGCGUUGUUCGGAAUUACUGGGCGUAAAGCGCGCGUAGGCGGACUGUCAAGUUGGGGGUGAAAUCCCGGGGCUCAACCUCGGAACUGCCUCCAAAACUGUCAGUCUAGAGGAUGUGAGAGGAUAGUGGAAUUCCGAGUGUAGAGGUGAAAUUCGUAGAUAUUCGGAAGAACACCGGUGGCGAAGGCGACUGUCUGGCACAUUUCUGACGCUGAGGUGAGAAAGCGUGGGGAGCAAACAGG
rnacentral:rRNA from 1 species